rnacentral:rRNA from 1 species
CGGAGGAUCCAAGCGUUAUCCGGAAUCAUUGGGUUUAAAGGGUCCGUAGGCGGGUUUAUAAGUCAGUGGUGAAAGCCCAUCGCUCAACGAUGGAACGGCCAUUGAUACUGUAGAUCUUGAAUUAUUAGGAAGUAACUAGAAUAUGUAGUGUAGCGGUGAAAUGCUUAGAGAUUACAUGGAAUACCAAUUGCGAAGGCAGGUUACUACUAAUGGAUUGACGCUGAUGGACGAAAGCGUGGGUAGCGAACAGGAUUAGAUACCCUGGUAGUCCACGCCGUAAACGAUGGAUACUAGCUGUUCGGAGCAAUCUGAGUGGCUAAGCGAAAGUGAUAAGUAUCCCACCUGGGGAUACGUUCGCAAGAAUG